UACGUAGGGUGCAAGCGUUGUCCGGAAUUAUUGGGCGUAAAGAGCUCGUAGGCGGUUCGUCGCGUCGGAUGUGAAAUCCCGAGGCUCAACCUCGGGUCUGCAGUCGAUACGGGCGGACUGGAGUUCGGCAGGGGAGACUGGAAUUCCUGGUGUAGCGGUGAAAUGCGCAGAUAUCAGGAGGAACACCGGUGGCGAAGGCGGGUCUCUGGGCCGAUACUGACGCUGAGGAGCGAAAGCGUGGGGAGCGAACAGG
rnacentral:rRNA from 1 species